AAAUUUUCCUUAAAAAAAAAAUAAAAAUCAACAGGCAUUUUCAGGGUAAGGCUUGGCCCUUGCACUCCAGGUGAGCUGACCCUUGUGAGUUUCCCAAAUGUGGGAAACUUGGCUGUACAGUUUUGUAGUAUUGGGGACUGUGUUUGUGCUUUCCCCUU
rnacentral:snRNA from 1 species